rnacentral:lncRNA from 1 species
GACGUCUGAUGAACUUGGGAUGUGCCACUGGACACCCAAGUUUUGUCAUGUCCUGCUCGUUCACUAACCAGGUGAUUGCCCAGCUCGAACUAUGGAAGGAGAAGGCAACUGGAAAAUAUGAGAAGAAGGUUUACGUAUUGCCAAAGCACCUCGACGAGAAAGUUGCUGCACUUCACCUCGGCAAGCUCGGAGCUAAGCUCACUAAGCUCACUAAAGAUCAAGCUGAUUACAUUAGUGUGCCUGUUGAAGGUCCUUACAAGCCUCCUCAUUACAGGUACUGAGAGAAGAGUUGAUGAGUUUUUAUCAAGAAAGAAAAAACAUCCGGA